rnacentral:rRNA from 1 species
CUCCGGCGAGUGGCGCACGGGUGAGUAACACGUGGGAAUCUACCUUAGAGUGGGGAAUAACCAUUGGAAACGAUGGCUAAUACCGCAUACGCCCUUCGGGGGAAAGGCUUCGGCCGCUCUUAGAUGAGCCCGCGUUAGAUUAGCUAGUUGGUAAGGUAAGAGCUUACCAAGGCUACGAUCUAUAGCUGGUCUGAGAGGAUGAUCAGCCACACUGGAACUGAGACACGGCCAG